UACGGGGGGGGCAAGCGUUGUUCGGAAUUACUGGGCGUAAAGGGUUCGUAGGUGGCCAACUAAGUCAUACGUGAAAUCCCUCAGCUUAACUGGGGAACUGCGUCUGAUACUGGAUGGCUUGAGUUCGGGAGAGGGAUGCGGAAUUCCAGGUGUAGCGGUGAAAUGCGUAGAUAUCUGGAGGAACACCGGUGGCGAAGGCGGCAUCCUGGACCGAUACUGACGCUGAGGAGCGAAAGCCAGGGGAGCAAACGGG
rnacentral:rRNA from 1 species